AAGCGGCGGAUCCCGCACGGCAUGAGAACGCGCGUCUCCACGGGGCAGCGACCCGGCCGCGGCGCCGUACAACGGCUGCAGCAAAGGCUCCGCCGAGCCCGCGCCACGGCCUCGAGGAGGCCGCCGCCACGGCGAGCGAGGGGUCGAACGGUCGCAGCGACGUCAUCAGUCUUCGUCCUAAUCCUCCUCGGCCGCAAUCCGACGAACAGGCGGGUGUCGCCUCGCUUGUCCCAAACUGGGCGACUUUGAGAUAUAGAGGAGACGGUCACGGCACGGGGCGGGACGGGGCGCGAGAAGGACGGUGUUGGCAACGGAACGUGUGGACGUCGUUUCCGUGGCUGUUUUAGGCCAGCAGACGCCGAACGCGGAAAAAGCUCAUAUGCCUGAUCCCGUGAUCCGUCAAUCGCGUCGCCAAAAACAAAAACACUCCUCAGGUUGUCUUCAGCAGAGGCGACCGCGACGCGCAUUUCAGGAGGAGAAACAAGAAGACAUCAAGUGUUGUCUCAAAUCAAUUGGAGGGUGGGACAUCAAAUGUUGCUGAAUCUAAUCAGUUACAAGUUGUUGAAUCGAAUGUAGAUGCCUCCAAUACGUUAGAGGGUGCUUGAUGCGUCAAGAGUCUAAUAUGUGUUGAGUGUCUGCAUUUUAUUUUGCUCCAAAAUUGGUCAAUGGAAGGGAUGUGGCAGAAUUAAAAGUCUUGUUGGGUGUAGUGAAUUUUAUUUUGCUCCAAAACUACUUCAUGGAAGGAAUGUGCUAAGCUCUAUUUUGUUCCAACACUACUUGCUGGAUGGAAUGUAAUCGAAAUUUGAA